AUUGAACGCUGCGGCAGGCUUAACACAUGCAAGUCGAGCGAGCGGCGGACGGGUGAGUAAUGCUUAGGAAUCUGCCUACUAGUGGGGGACAACACCUCGAAAGGGAUGCUAAUACCGCAUACUAAUAUAUGAGCCUAGUCGGAUUAGCUAGUUGGUGGGGUAAAGGCCUACCAAGCCGACGAUCUGUAGCGGGUCUGAGAGGAUGAUCCGCCACACUGGGACUGAGACACGGCGCAGACUCCGACGGGAGGCAGCAGUAGGGAAUAUGGGCAAUGGGGGGAACCCUGAUGCAGCCAUACCGCGUGUGUGAGGAAGGCCUUCGGGUUGUAAAGCACUUUCAGCGGGGAGGCGUUACCCGCAGAAGAAGCACCGGCUAACUCCGUGCCAGCAGCCGCGGUAAUUC
rnacentral:rRNA from 1 species